GGGGGAUGCGGUUCGUUUUGGGCUGCAUUUGUGACUUCUGCCAUCAAGCCAAGCCCAGGCAGGGAGGAAGGGGCAUCCCAGGCUCUCAUCUGCCCGUUUGACAGCACAUCUCCAUGGCUCUUAAUUACUCUUCCAACUUUGAACUGUUUGGGACUUUGAAGAUCAGCCCUUGUUCCUGUUAAAUGUUUAGGUUGAGCUUCUGGGUUCAGCGAUUUAUUCAUCAGCAAAUGAGCCAGCACACGUUGCUAGUCAUAGACACUUGUAUUUACGCUUUGUCCUGACUUCAAUUUCAGACCCUAGAAGUACUUAUAUGUAAAAAAUUGUGUCAGUCCACGUAAGAAAACUACUGUGGGAGUGUUUACAAAUGAUUAUCUUGUGCAUAAGCUUCUAAGAUUAUCUUCUAAAACCAUAAAGUGCUCGCAUCAGCAGCACACAGACUAAAAAACUGGAACAAUACAGAGAAGAUUAGCAUGGCCCCUGUGCAAGGAUGACAAAACUCAUGAAGUGUUCCAUAUAGAUUUUUAAAAUCCCAUAAGUAGAAAAGUGGAUGGGCCCCUUUAAGAGUAUCGCCGUCGAGAGGGAACUGAAUUUUAAAAACAAGCAUGCAAGCAAACCUCAAGGUUAAAACGUAUGAAGCUGGUCUAUGCACAUCUUAUUGCUCUGGAUGGGAAGAGCAGCAGAGCAAAUGGGCUUCAGGGGGUUGGGGGCAUGGAGCAUUUGCCAAGCUGGUGCCAAGAAUGGAUGCAGGCACAUGGGAAGGAAGGGUUGUGCUGGCCAUGGGGGGCUUUGUAGACAACACCGAGGGCUUGAACUUAAUUUUCAA
rnacentral:lncRNA from 1 species